GUCAGUGUCAGUUUUUUAAUUUCCAAGACUUCCUUUUGCUAAUUAUCUUCUUCCUAUAAUCCCUCUUCAGUUCUGUGCUUUAAGAACUCAGAAACUAAAAUCAAUAUGCAUCAGAGAAAUAUAGGUUCAGUAUUAAUAUAAUGUUAUGCACUGAGAGAAAAGAAAAAUUUAGGUUAGCCUCCUCCCUUACAUCCUGAAAGAGCUGUCAAUUAUCCACUGGUUAAAGUACACUGUAAAAGUUUUCUCUUUUAACCCUCUAUAAUUCAAGUAAAUCACUUAGAUGAACCACCAUGUAUAUACUGCUUCAUUUGUUUAAACAUAAAUGUCAGUGUCAGUUUUCCAAUGUGUCAAAUCAUGCUCUUGCUAAUUGUCUUCUUCUUCAAAUAAUCCAUCUUCAGUUCUGUUGUUUAAAUGCUUAAGAGCUUAAGUCAUAACAUCAAGUGACACAAGAAAUGUAGAAUUCAAGAAAAAGCAAAAAACUUGUGACACAGAAAUCCGAAGCUUUCAUCAAGCCCAUCAAGUUUGUGCCAUAUUAAAUUACAAUUGUUGAAAAAGAUGCCAGUUCCUGUGACAGCCACGUGCAUCGUCUGCAAAGGGGACACGGUGCCGGAGUAUCCGAAAUGUGGUUGCUGCAUGUACGAAGAAUUCAUCAGGAAUAAAUUCGGUUCGAAGCACGUUCCCAGAUUGCACUUCCAUAGGAUUAGAUUUUAGAAGUUUUUGUUUCUUGUGUGAGCACCAUUUUGUGAUUGAUAAUUGUACAAGUGCUUUUUUAAACAUGUUUGACACACUUAUUGUUUUAAUAUGUUGUUUUAUUGGACUAAUUAAGUUAUUUUUAUAUUUAAGUCCAUGAUUUUAUUGAUUUUAAAGAUUGUUUGUUGUAAUAUCCGAAUAUUAAUGGUUAAAAUAUUAAACUUUUCAAGAAAUGUAUAAACAACACAAAUUUUGAGGUUAUGUUGUUGUUGGCUUUGUUUAUUCUAAAUUCCAAAAGGGUCAAAAUUUUUUAAAAACAACAAAUUUGUACCUAUUAACUGAGGCAUUUGUCUAGUUUUCAAAAAAUUUGUACAAUUUUUGGGAAUUUGGUUUUUUUUAACAAAAUGUCUUCUCUUAUUGUUGAACUACAUAUUAAUAUUUUUCUUACUAUUAAAUUAAUAUGCCCCACAUUUUAAUUUAAUAAAAUUAUUUCUAUGUAAA